rnacentral:tRNA from 1 species
CAGGGUGUAGUUCAGUCUGGAAGAAUCCUCCCCUCGGAAGGGAGAGGUCGUUGGUUCAAAUCCAACCACCCUGACCA